CUCAAUGAAAUUUAAAUAGCCGCAAUACUCUUGUGCUAAGGUAGCAUAAUCAUUUGUCUUUUAAUUAAAGACUAGAAUAAAAGAUUUAACAUUUUUAUUACUCUCUCAAUUAUAAUUAUUUAAUUUAUCUUAAAUAUAAAAAGAUAUUUAUAAUACUAAAAGACGACAAGACCCUAUUGAACUUAACUAAAGUUUAACUGGGGCAGUUAAUUAAAUACAAUUUUAAUUUAAAUUAAAACAAAACCUAAUAUAAUUAAAUACAUCAAGUUACCAUAGGGAUAACAGCGUAAUAAUUUUCUAUAGUCCUUAUUUAAAAAACAAUUUGCGACCUCGAUGUUGAAUUAAUAAUCUAUUAAAUGCAACAAUUUAAUAAGAAAGUCUGUUCGACUU
rnacentral:rRNA from 1 species